UAAUAGUGCAGAUAGUUAUACUAUGCUGUAUACCUAUGUAAACCGAAUUAACGUUUAAGCGGCAUGUAAUGUCGUCGGGCAUAGGGAGCCACCUUCGGGUGGCUUUUUUGUUUAG
rnacentral:ncRNA from 1 species